GGCCAAGUAGCUCAGUUGGUAGAGCAGCGGAUUGAAAAUCCGCGUGUCGGUGGUUCGAUUCCGCCCUUGGCCACCC
rnacentral:tRNA from 1 species